UCAAUUAAAUCAUUUUAUUAUUUCUUAAAUUGAUUUAUGGAUACUUUUGUCCAUGUUGUCCAUCCAUUAGUAAUCCAAGCCCAAACAUUAGUCCAAGUCCAUGUGUCUUUUACCAAAAAGAAAAACUAAAAUAAAACAAAAAAAAAAAGGAAAAAGAAAAAGAAAAAAGAUGAACGUGCAUCAUCUUCUUCCCUCCUCCCUUUCUUCUUCUUUCGCCUGAUUUGCAACAGCUCAAAAGGAGCAGAUUUUUGUCAACAUUCAACCCUUGUCAGUAGGAAAAAUUAAUUCAGUCCACAAAAUCAGAUAUUGAGUAAAUAUUUGCAAAGACCCAACUCUCUCUCUUCACUCCCUCCAUUAAUGGAGAAAUUGACCAAGCUUGUCAAACCAGAAAAUCUUGCCUAUAAAUAGAGAGCCAAACUCAUCAAAAUUCUCAGGCAAACAACUUCAAAGGUUUGCUUCAACUCAAUUCCUUUCCCUUGAAUUUCUGAUUUUUGAUUUUGAAAGUGAAAAUUGAAAUUUUGAGAACCACCAUUAACACCACCUUCAACCCAACCUCCUCUACUUCUUUUCGCCUGACCGCACCACCUGCACGACCGCCUUCACCACCACCCGAAACCACCAGUCAAACCCGGCCACCAAUUCGCACCACCAAAACCGCCAACCACUCUUCGCAGCCUGCUGCUGCGUCACACCUCCGCGCCCAGCCGUGAAACCCACCACCUGACCUCCGAUAUGCCUGACCAUUUCCGUCGCCUGAGUUGGUCGUGCGCCGGCCAAGACCAAAACCAGCACCAAAAAAAUUCCUUCGCCUCCCUGUUUCCCCCUUCUUUCGCCCUCUCUGCUUCGUUCCUCUGUUUGAGGAACUGAGAUUUUAAAUCUCCUUUCCCCUCUUUUGUUUUCUCUUUUACUUACUUAAGUUUAAUUGGUUUUAAUUAGUUUGUUCACUUUUAUUUUUAAUAAGUUCGUAAAUUAUAUAUACCAAAUUAAAUAAAGAAAAGAAUUUAAUAAAUAUAAUUUUAAAAGUUACUCAUUAACUGCCUAAAAUUGAAAUGCAAAAAAUCAUGAACUACUUAAACUAAUAGUCAUUAAUUUGUCUAAUGCUAAUGUAGACGAAUUCGUGGUUCACAUUUCUUCCUUUAUGGCCUUUGUCGAACAACACUAUUGUAAAAUUUUUAUACAUUUCCCAACACACCCAACAGGAUCACGGGAGAACUAGAAAUAUGGAAUGCAUAAGUUGCUUAUUUGAGAAUUGAGAUGUAGUAGUCUGAUAAUGAUUGAAGAAAAGUUAAUCGUUAUAUAGAAAUAUUUUCAAUAUAAUUGAAUUGAUGGAUUGACAAACAACAUCGAUAUUAUUGUAAUGUCUUCUUUGACAGGGCGUAUUUGGAAUAAUUAGUUUUCAACAUAAACAACCAACUCUGUUCACUUAAUUCAUAUUGACUACACUAUAAUAUCCUGAUCUUUGUUCUUAAUCUAUUGUAACAUGGAGAUUUGACACGCUUAUCCAAUAACUGAGUGGGUUAGGUCUUGUAUGCCCAUGUGGACUAUACUGGAAGAAAAAUAUUACAACUAAUUUAUAUUGUACAUCUUUUCAUAUCAAAUAAAGAAAUAUUACAACUAAUUUUAAUUUUUUUCAAAAAAAUAUAUGUUGCAAUUGAAAAAGAAUAAGGAAGUAUUAAUGAUGAGUGGAUUUUUCUUGAUAAAUAAUUGGUACAAUAUUAUAAAUAGCAUCUAAAGAGUUAACUAUAAUAUAGAUUUAUCUUACAUAAAUUUGCAUAAAUGCCCUUACUAUAUUUCUUUUUUGUAUAUUUGCAAGCUAAUCCUUCCCAUCAACCAUUGUGCGGGCUCUUAAAGAACAAUUAAAUCACCAUGAGCCACAUGCCCGCACUCGCGAAUUUGGGUAUUAUUUGUAUGUUAUAAUAAGAUGUUCUAUUAAGCUAAUAGCAAGAUACGUGAAAAAAUACAUUAUCAUAGUCCAUAGAUCAGCUGGAUCAUACCAAUAAAGAGGAAUCCCGACUCAUGAUCGGCCAAAGGGAGAUCUACUCCAUUAUGUGUCAGCCACUAUGCAAUGCUAUGCCAAGAUCACAAUCUUGGAGAUUUUGGCACCACAGAGACAAUUUUUGCUCGUUCGGGGACGGACUGUCGUAGCUAAACAAGAUUCCAACAAGCCAAAUUAAUUUGUAUCCAAACUCCAAAUGAUGCAUAUGUUAUUAAUUAGUCUGUAUCCAAAUUAUGCAUAUGUUACUCCUUAUUAGUCCGACAUUACCCAGAUGGCCAGAUAGUGACAUGAUGAUGCAAGUGCAUGGCAGGCGAAGGUUAUAUACUAAUGAAUUAUAUUCCGAAUGUAGAUACCACUGGAUAUGAUACAAACGUAAACAUCUCAAUGAACGUGUACGCAACACAUAUACAAGUAGUAAUCUAUGUCCGCGGCGCUAAGCUAAGGCGCUCAAAGAUGAAAUGUAUCUGAAUCUGAGAGGCAGCAAGUUGAAGUCCCUCUUAUGAAGCCAAUAAAAUUACUAUGUAUUCCACUCUUUGUGGCAAGCCCACUUGUCAUAAUUAUCGCUCCUUAUAUUGAUGUUGUUGUCCUUCAUUGCACCUCGACCGAAAGUCCGGAUAUUUGCUUCUUUGUUCUAACUUCUUAUGGCCUCGUUGUCGUUCUCCUUCUUCCUUGCUUCUUUGACUUUUAAUUUCUCUGCGCUAAUAGUAGUGUUCGUCCAACCCAUCACAUAGAGGAGAGAUGAUAAAUCUAUAACAGUGAGGGGGCAGCUUGCCCUCUCACAAGACAUGACAAUAAAGUCGUUGUUCCGAGUAUCGAUUUUAGUCUAUUAAAUCAUUAUUUUAAGGAAAAUUUGCACAAAACCACCUUAAGUUUUCACUUAUUUAGAAACUCCCACCUUUAUGUUUUUUUCCCAAAAUUUCCACCUAAACUUUACAAAACCUUUAUAAACUCCCACCACUUAACGGAUUUUGCCAAACUCCGUUAGUGGUGGGACCCACAUCAAUUAUUUCUUUGUUUUUCCCUCCAAGCAACUCACUUCCCUCAUUCAUCUCUACAAAAAUGUUGUUUGGAACCCAGAAAUUUACCCAGAUUUCAAGAGAAAUGAAUGAAGAGAGAGAGAAUGGAAAAAAAAGGGAGAACUUAGGGUCUGUUCUCUUCGGCAUAAAACAACUGAACUGAAUUGAACUGAUCUGAAUUGAUCUGAACUGAACUGAACUGAAUUUAAUUGAACUGAACUGAAAUGAAUCGUGAUAUGUGAGAGUAAAAGUAUUGUCAAGAGCUGAACUGAACUGAUCUGAAUUGAACUGAUCUGAACUGAACUGAAUUGAACUGAACUGAACUGAAUUGAACUGAACUGAACUGAACUGAACUGAAAAUAAGCUGGGGAGAACCGGCCCUUAAUGGUGGGAAGAGGAAGACGACAUCAUUUUUGGAGAGAUGAAUGAGGCAAGUGAGUUGUUUGGAGGGAAAAACAAAAGAAAUAAUCGAUGUGGGUCCAACUACUAAUGGAGUUUGGCAAAACCCGUUUAAGUGGUGGGAGUUUAUAAAGGUUUUGUAAAGUUUAGGUGGAAAUUUAGGGAAAAAAAAACAUAAAGGUGGGAGUUUCUAAAUAAGUGAAAAUUUAAAGUGAUUUUAUGCAAAUAAUAGCAACUUUACUAUUCAUGUGAGAGGUCAGAGGGUAGCAUGCCCUCUAAUGGUUAGAGAUUUAUUAUCCCUUAGAAAUAAAUCAUCAAUCUUACAUAUUCGUUUCUUUUUAUUUUUCUUUUUCUGAAUGUCUCGAUGAGUAAACCUAAAUUUUGGCCUUAAUUUCUCAUCAAUAUAUAAGAAAUAUUAUGUUUAUGUGAGACUUUAUUAAGUACUUUCCACUUUCAUAGCUUUUCAUAACUUUAAAUUAUAAAUAAUAAUUAAAGAUAUUGAUGAUUCAAUAAUACUAUGUAUCAACCACUUAUUGAGAAAAGGAAUUGUGUAAGGUGAUCUUUUUACCUUCACGAGUCAAUCCCUACCUAAAAUGUUGCAGCCCAUAUCAUUUAUAUUUAGAAACACAACCCUAAAUUAAUUGGGUUAUUCCCAUGUCUUGAGUUUGGGCCCUAAGCAGAAGAGAGAAGUGAGAAUAGUCCAAUAGGCCAAAAUCAAUACUAGACAUUAGAGUUGUUAAUCCAAUAUUGUCUUAAUUCCUAUAUUAAUCCAAAUCAAUUAUAAAUCUAUACAAAUAUAUUAAAAGGUGUGCAUAAACAAGAAAUUAUGCCACGUGGCACUCUUCCUAAGGAGUUUUUGUCAAUGAAAAAAAUUUAGACAUUACAUAGUAUAAGGUUUGAUCCCGAGACCUCCAGUACAUAUACUUAAGUCUUAACCACUAGACUAAGUUGUAUUUAGUAUUAAUAUCAUAAAGUAUUAUAUUAAUAAAUGAAAUUGUUUCUUACCCGGGGAAUAGUCCGGACCUAUAACUAGUUUUAAACCCAAAAUCCAUCCCAUUCUUUAUUAUUUUGUGAUAAGUUCAAUCUUCUAUCUCUUUAUAUGGUUAAUGGUAGAUAAUGAACAAAUGUAAACAAGGAAAAUUUCAAUCAGACUUACAUUAUAAUUCUACAACGAACUCACAAGUAAAAUUAGGAAAGUCCUUCAACCACAUAAACUUGAGAGUUCACGAAGUCAAUAUUGGCAUACUAUGUGGAAUGUGCUACAAUAUUUUUCUCUCAGAUACUAUGUGCCAUAACUAAAAGGUACAUUGUCACGUACAGAUUUACACGCAUGAUGCAUCUGAAUCCACAAUUCAAACCAAUUUCGGUACCGAAGAAUAGUACUCUUGUCAAGAAUAGUACUCUUGUCUCCCCUAAUUCCAGAAAAACCCCCCCACAGCGAGUUAACUAUCUAGUAAGGACUUAAAGUAUGAGAGUUUUUUCCAACAAGGACCUGAACAAUUUUUUGAUCUACUAAGGACCUCAUAUCUACUAUGGUUACAUUUUCCAUCCAAUAUUAUUAACUUUGUUUCCUUUUUGUUUUAAAAAAUUGAAAUGGCCCCACCAACUCAAUUAUUCUUUAUCUCUUUCCAUAUUCCUCUUAAUUUGACUUUAAUUUUUUUUUCCAUAAAACUAUGAGUAUUUUUAUCAAAUUGGUACUUUAAGAUACAUUAUUUAAUCACAUGAACAUAUUUUAAAAAAUUAUCACAUGUGUGUAUUUUCAAAGAUUUUCUUUAAUCAUAUGAGUAUUUCUUAAAAUUUGGACUACUUAUAAGUAUUUAAUAAAUCUUCAUUGACCAUAUAAGCCCUUUAGCUAAUGUUAUAUAUUCACCUUUAUUUACAUCUUAUAUAUUCUUAGAGUAAUUGUCUCAGAAUAACUCUAAAGAAUCGAUAAUUAUAUCUCUCUCAAUUCUUUACCCUUUGGUAAUUACUGUGAGAAGUUAUAUUUUAAAAUACUCAUUUGGUAAUUACUAAUCAGACCCUACACAACCGUCCAACCCUUUGUGUCUCUCUUAAAAUAUAUCAUGUUUGUGUAGGUCGUAGCUCUCAUCCACCAUCUUUACAAAUCCAAAAUAUAUCCUAAAAGUUAAAAUUCUUUUCCUCUUUAUAGCCUAAUUUUUUCCAUUGAUAGUGCAAAUUUUAAAAUGUAUCCUCUCGCAAUGUGGGCAUUUUUAAAAAAUGGUGAUACUGGUAUAACAGUAUUUUUCAAAAUUUUAUCUUUUUUUUUAAAAGAUACAAGUAAAGUUUAGGGAACUCUUCUUUCAAGAGUAUACCCUAAACUAUCUAAAGUAACUAAAUAAUUGAAAAACAUAUCGGACUGAACAUCAACUAAUUGAGAUGGAUUUUGGAGAUGGUGCCCAAUCUUUGAGAGGUAAUCUGCAACCCGAUUGGCUUCCCGAUAGACGUGAACAAUUGUAACCUUCCUGUAAUACCCCGAAUUUUCAAACGAUUAUUUUAUUAUUUAUUAAAGUUUCAUAUUAUUUCCACUUAUAAUUUAUUUUACAAUAAUGCGAUUUUAUUUGAUAACUAUGUUUAUUAAAAUAAUGAUUUCAUUUAUUUUGAGUUAUUUAACAAGUUUCAAUUAAAUCAUUUUAUUAUUCAUUUUAUUAUUCUAAUUUAUCAAAUUUCAUAAAUUAGUUAUGGAUACUUUUGUCCAUCCAUUAGUAAUCCAAGCCCAAACAUUAGUCCAAGUCCAUGUGUCUUUUACCAAAAAGAAAAGUUAAAACAAAAACAAAUAAAUAAAAUAAAAAAGGGAAAAAGAAGUGAAAAUCUAAUUCACCAUCUUCUUCCCUCCUUUCUUCUUCCCUCGUCUGACUCAACAGCUCACAAAAACCAAAUUGUCAACAUUCAACUCUUGUCAGUAGAACUUGAAUAUCAGUCCACAAAAUCAGAUUUUUGGGGUAAAAAUUCAAAGGCUACUCUCUCACCUCACUUCCUCCAUUAAUGGAGAUUUGACCAAGCUUCUCAAACCAGAAAAUUUUGUCUAUAAAUAGCAACCAAACACACUCAAUUGCUCAAGCAAACAAAACUCCAAAGGUUUGCUUCAAUCAUUUCUUUCUUCCUAAAUUUCUGAUUUUUUGAUUUUGAAAUCUAAAAUAAAAUUGAAACCCACCAUUAUCAACCUCCUUUGCUUCACUUCGAACCACCACAUCACCGGAAAAACUGAACCACCAAAUGAACCCCCCCUGAAUCCCGCCGGUAAACCACCACACCAAAACUGCACGACCACCUUUGAACCACCACAACAAACAAGUCGAACCACCAGCAAAACCCUUCGCUACCCUCUUUUCGCGGCGCCUCUGCUGCGUCGCAACCCACGCCCAACCGCCUGACCACCGUACUUCGCCGUCGAACCAAACCACCGGCGCCACUUUUCUCCCUCACCAUCUCCCCUGUUUCGCCCUUCUUUCGCCCCCUCCUUCCCUCUGUUCUGUUUUUCAAAAAAAUGAAGAAACUGAUUUUGUUUCUUUUAAAAACCCUCUUUUCUUUUACCUUUUAGUUUAAUUGUAUUUUACUUACUCUUUUUUUAAAACAAGAUUAAUAACUUUCGUAAACUAGCUCACUUAAUUAAGUUAGUAUGUUUAAAACGAUUUCUAAAAUAAUUCGAAAAUCGUAAAACUCUCUUAAACUAAUUAUGAAUUUCCUUUAAGUUAUUUGAAUCAUUUAAAUCGUUUAUUUUAUGUACGUAUAUAAAAAGGGGUUACUUAGGAACUAACUUAGAUCUCGUUAAUAUUUAUUGUAGACUCCGAUUUCGUAGACGAGGAUUAUCAAGAGCGCUAACCUGUUCGUAAACUUAACUUUUGGGCACGCGUCACGAGGUAGCUUAUGCAAUACGUUUAUACACGAUCUAGAGGAAGACGUCAGGAAAACCAAAUGGCCGAAACUCCGGAACAAGUCGCAGCACGACUUAGGACCCUCGAGCAAUUAGCUCAAAACUUCGGAUUAGUUCUUCAAAACCAACUGAACAACAACCACCAUGGGGAUGAUCCGCAAGCCGCAAUGGCAAAAAGAUUUCCUCUUUGAAACCACCAACCUUUGUUGGUAGAGAAGACCCAUUGCUUCUCGAAAAUUGGAUAAGAGACUUCGAAAAGAUUUUCACGGCCACGGGUACGCCUGAGGCCCAGAAAGUAGACCAAGCGACCUUUUAUUUGCACGAGGACGCUGAUACUUGGUGGGAAAGUGUAGGACCAAUCGUUAAAGCUCAAGAGAACUUUAACUGGGAAGCGUUUAAGAUAGCGAUUAAGGCUCGAUUCUUCCCCGAGCACAUUCGUAGGCAGAAGUACAAUGAGUUUAGUGAGUUCAAUCAGAGCUAUACCAUGAGUGUGCAAGAGUACGCUCAGAAAUUCAAUGAGUAUGCUCGCUUCUGUCCAACCGUAGUUCCAGAUGAGGGAACUAAGGCUCAAAAGUUUGAGGACGGACUUAAGUUCGAUCUUCAGACUCGUAUGGGAGGUAGUACCUCAACUACUUUCGCGGAGGCGUAUGCUAAGCCUCAAACUUAGAGAGAAUUCUG